rnacentral:rRNA from 1 species
CAUGCAGGCGGUUAGACAAGUCAAAUGUGAAAUCCCCGAGCUUAACUUGGGAAUUGCAUUCGAUACUGGUUGGCUAGAGUGUGGGAGAGGAUGGUAGAAUUCCAGGUGUAGCGGUGAAAUGCGUAGAGAUCUGGAGGAAUACCGAUGGCGAAGGCAGCCAUCUGGCCUAACACUGACGCUGAGGUGCGAAAGCAUGGGGAGCAAACAGGAUUAGAUACCCCUGUA